rnacentral:lncRNA from 1 species
UUUUUUUUUUUUUUUUUUUUUUUUUGUCUUUUUGCUAUUUCUUUGGGCCGCACUCACGGCAUAUGGAGGUUCCCAGGCUAGGGGUCAAAUCAGAGCUGUAGCCACUGGCCUAUGCCAGAGCCACAGCAACGCGGGAUCCGAGCCGCGUCUGCAACCUACACCACAGCUCACGGCAACGCCAGAUCCUUAACCCACUGAGCAAGGGCAGGGACCGAACCCGCAACCUCAUGGUUCCUAGUCGGAUUCGUUAACCACUGCACCAUGACGGGAACUCCCUGCUUUUUCUGAAUAAAGGGAAAUAUACCACUAGGAACUUUCGGGCCUACUUUGAGGCCCGAGUUUGGCUGUGGGGAUAAGUAUCAGUGGAAGUUCUGAUGAAGGAGGAGGAAUUGUGCACUAUUUCAGGACCUUCCCAGACUGAGAGGAGCAAGCACAUUCCUGGCUCAUGAUGGAUAAACACCCAUGAGUGGAGGAUGAACUCCAUUGAAGACCACGCCUAGCAUCACUGAGGGAGGGAGAACUGCCACAACUCCAGGAAUGAGGAAGAAGGCAGGAGACAGCAUCCCUUUGGGGCUGAGAGAGAGACUCCUUUUCCCCAGAGGUAGAACAGCUGUUCUUCUUCUGUGCAAGGCUGCAGAGGGAGGCACCUGCAUUCCACAGGCAGCAGGUCACACUCUCUGAGCGGGUGUGGAGGGAGAGAGUCACGAUGACUUGAGCAGGGGAGGGGCCCCUCUCAAGUUCUGUCAGCCAGGUCUCAAGUUCCUUCAGUGCUUCACUUUCUUUCUCCCAACUUUGCCGCUUUUCCUGUGCCCUAGCAGGUCAUUAUCUGGGUCAGGCUCUGAGCUAGGGCUUACUCAGUCAGGAAAAUGCAGACACUCCAGAGGAACAGGGCUCCUCAGGUGAGGUAACCCCCGUGGGCAGCAGCACCUGCUCUCACCUUAGUGUGCUGUGGUUGGAAGGAGUAGGAGUUACUGAAGGAAGGAAAGGCUCAUAUUCAAUAGCUGUCCCAGUCGUGUAGCUGAGGGCACUGCAGGUAGCUUAGAGGGGUCUGACCUUCAGUGAGCAGGCUACAGGGCUGUGGCCCCAGGUCUAGCUUCACUGAAGAACGGAAGACCCAGGAGGACUUCCUCCUCAGCGUUCAUCUUGUUGCUCUUCCAAGAAUGCUCUCCCUCACACUUUACAUAUCUGUCAGGAGCUACCGCUUUUCCCCUCCUCUGUUCCUGCUCACUCUAGCCCCUCACAUGCUGGUGACGUGGGGAUGAGCCGGGCAGUGGGGCAGAGUCCCAUCUCUGAGAGUAAGGCCCAUGGCUGCCCCAGAAUCACCGUGUACAGCAGGUACUCCUAUGGGUGGGGUGAAUGUUGGCCCACGUUCUUACCCUGCUCUCUGGAAGCUCUCCCUCUUCCUUUAGGAUUUCUUUGGCCCAAAAUGUUCCUGGAGCCUCAGGCUUGGCAUGGUGUCCAGUCACCUCAAGUCAACUGGCCUCCCUAGAGAUGUUGCUAGAACUUCACAGCCACACUGUCUUAAGUUUGGUUCUUGAGAGCAGCCCCUGGGAUGAGGUUCAGGCACAUGUGAUUAUGAAGGCCAUGCUCCCACGAGCAGUUGCAGGGAGUAGGGAAGUGAGCAGGGCGGGGAUGUGCACGUGACCUUGGGUGAAGCCCAGCACCAGCCCAGCACCAAGGAGCUCUGGAGUGGAAAUUACACCUCAGCAUCUAUACCACCUUGAGGGAUGGUUGCUGACCUUUCAUCCUACAGUCAGUCCUUGGCUAUAGGUAACCCAGGAGGGGAUGGUUACACAUUCCCAGAGCUUCCUGCUCCUGAAGGAGAAAGUGGUGCCAUUAGCCCAAGGGCAGGCCUCUAAGGAAGCCACAGGUAUAGGUUGUUCAAAGCAAAGCACGCACAGCUAGGAGGAGGGAUCUGAAAGGAUGGGGUACAGCUUUAGAGUGUUGUCAGUUGUCAGGAAACCCAGACAGCACCCCGGAAAUCAGCUGAAAUGGGCUGGGCCUGGGAGCAGAACAAGGACUCCCACACUGGUAGCUAAGUUGGCCCGUCGGAGUGGAGAAAUUGAGCACAGUUUUUGAGAUCACCACAGGCAUCCUUUCAAUAUCAAGAUUUUAGUGGAAGUAAUGAUUUUUCUUGGCAGAGUCUAAAGCUUUCUUUCCCAGAAUUCCUUUUCUUCUUCCCACUCCACUUCUUCUCCUUUCUCUCAUCACCUGGUUUUCUCAUUUUUCUGAAUUCCUGAAUCACCUACUGUUUGUACCCCUCCCAGGGUUGCUCACCAUUGCUUGGCGUCCCUGUAGGGUUAGCUUCCAGUAGUGGUUCUGUCACAGGUUCUGGAGAUGGACUUGGACUUGAUGCUCAGCUUAGCCACUUACCUACUCUGUAACCUAGGGCAAGCUACUUAACUUCUCUGAGCUUUAUUUCCCUCUGUAAAUUCUAACAGCAGUACCUACUUCAGGUGUACUGAGAGGAUUAAAAUGCAUCAUCGGUGCUUAGCAGUGUAUCUGCUGUGGUCUACAUGUCAUAAAUACUAGCUACUGUUUGGAAACUAUAGAUAUUCUUGUGUGCAGUUAGUUUCCACACUAUACUGCAGCCUCCUUGAGGGCAGGUGCCAGCUACUGAACCUGUGUAUAUAAGUAGGUGCUCAUAUAUGCGUGGGGUUUAAACAGAAAAUUCUGGGCAAGGAGAGAAGGCAAUGGGUUCAGACCCCCACGGUUUCAUAACAAAGCCCAGGAUUUCCACGUUCCUUACAUAGGAGCUGCUUCUCUGCUGAAUUCAGGGCCCAGCAUCUACCAAGAAAAGUGCCCUCUGAUGCCAUGCCGCUGUUCUACUACCCCAGCACCGGGUCCUUGAGGAGGGAGGCCACUGCCAGCCCUCUGGGAAGGAUGGUGAGGGAUCCUUGGGUACCCACCCCCUAGGACAGCUGUGGGCCACCCUGCUGGGCAGGAGCAGAGCAGGCAGGCCUGACCUUCCAGACCUUCAGUCACCCCAACUUGGUGGGGACUGCUCUUCAGGACUCCGUCCUCACUUGUGACUGUUUCGGCUGCCAAGGAGAGUGGGGUGAGCCCUGGGGGCACCUCUUCAGGCAGUUGGAGGGAUACAGGCUGCCCUUCAACCACAGCCCCUGCCAGGGAGCAGAGGCAGGCAUGUAUCUUGCUGAAAAUAAACCCACCCUCUCCUGGAGAACCAGGUGAUGAGGGGUGUGUGUGGGGGGAGUUAAAGGUGGGCAGGACUGGGGGUGUUGGUGGCAGGGGGUUCAUCUCUGAGGAGAUUAUAGUCAUUUUGAGUAAGCGUCACAGAGCCUGGGAAAACUGGGGCUGCCAACAGGGACCUCUCACACUUUCUCUCACACACUCACAUACUUUCAGACACACUUUCUCACACACAAAUACACUCUCAUACUCCCAUACACACACUCACAUGCUCACCUACUCACACUUCCUCUCACACAUUCUUAUGCACACUCACAUACAUUCUCUCACAAAUACUCUCUCGCAGUCACACACAUAUUUUCUAAUACACACUCACACACAUUCACAUAUACUGACACACCAUUCUUUCUCACACAUUCUCACACACACAUAUUCUCUCACACACUCACAUGCUUUCACAACUCACACACUUUAGCAACUCUCUCACACUCAUACACACAUACUCACAUGCUUUCACACACUCUCACACUUUCUCUCAACUUUUCACACACACACACUGUCUCACACACACACACAUACACACACAAAUCAGCGUUCAAAAUGGAGGAGGAUAGAUGGCACUAAUACACUCCUUUGUCUUCCAAGUUCUCAGAAAACCAAAUAACCUAUAGUCUUUUUCUGUGUCUAUAGAGGCUGGUCAAACCUGGACAAUCUCAUUCCAUAUCUUGUGCUAGAAUGAUGUUACAACUCACCCUCUCAAGGCCUUCUAGAAACAGAGGAAAGUUAAAACCGUGGGGAGACAGUGGGAGGUCAAUGGUCCAAAACUUUUGCAGUUUCAUGGACAAUUUCAAAGAUAUGAAGAAAACUGGGGGGUUCCCUCUUUAGAGAAAUGUGCUUAAUGCAUCAGAUGGAAUAUCCUGCAUACAAUUUUAGAGAGUCCUGGAACCUCCUCCCUAAAAUCAAUCUAUCAGCCUUGGAUUAAGACGUCCCAUUCUGAAGCACUCAGUCUCAAGAAACAGAGCUGCUCCAAUUCAAAUGCAAACAAUGCCAGCACCACCACCCACCACGCCCAGCCCAGAGUCCUGAGCUAUAUGACGUCUUCUUGAGACUCAGAGAAUGACAGGUGACAGUGUCAAACUAGUGACACAUCCCAAAGAGAAACCAUCCCUCAUGGACACUUGCUCCCACAGCCUCCAGGAGCUUUCAAAGAACCACCCAUUCUGUUCCAGGCCUUCCAGCGUUCAGGGAAACAUAUUCCUGGGCCAGUGGAAAAGUGGGCUUGGAGUGGCUGAUGAGACCUUCUGGGCUAACCGUCCUCAGCCAUAGAAAAUAGGAAACUAACCUAUGGUGGUGAGUUUCCCUGACCUGUGGAGGAGAUAGCAGCAGAACAGUGUAAGCACGGAGGACAAUUCCACCUAGAGUGCCUGGCAUGGGAACAUGGGGGACCCAAGUUUGGAAUGUAUUGUGACGCAAGGUUGACAUCCAAUGUGCAGCUGAGGGUGUGGGGGCUCUAAAGGUGAAUGCCAGGGCAUGGGGUUUGGGGACAACCACCUAUUUUACCUUGCUUGAGGCAUGCCUCUGUGCAUUGAGCUAAAGUUUAUUGAGCUCCAUGGUGUAUUGGACAUAGAGAAGCAGUGCAGCGGCACAGCCCCAGUCCUCAAAGAACUCAGUGUAUUAGGAAAGAGAAAUCUACACUGAACAUUACAGAAGGUGUCAUGUGAUAGAUGCAAGUCCGAGGCUCUCCCGAGCUGAAAUCCUACUGCUAGAAAUCAUCCUGUGAAGCUAAUGCCAGGGUGGCCCAUAGCUGAGCUCUCAACUUUGGCUGUGCAUCAAAUCCCCUGGGAAACUGAGAAUCAGGCCACACACACAGCAUGUAAAUCAGAAUCUCUGGGGAAGGUCCCAGCCAUCAGCAGUUUUUAAAGCUCCCCCAGUAAUCCCGGUGUAGCAGGAUGGAGAACCACGGGCCAGCCCCUCUUGUGUGGUCUUGCUCCAGAGAAUCCCCCUUAAUAGGAAGCUUCAUGGUUGAUAAAUUAGGACCUUAGGGGACAGCCAGGCUGGGAGAUGGACUAGUGAGUACAUUGACACACAAAAAACUUUCAAAUGUUGUUUUAUAUUUGUGUAACUCAGAAACCUGCCCACUACUAGCAUGUUCAGUAUCCCCAGGCCGUGAACCCAGAGAGAUUAUGGUUUCCCUCACUUACAUCUAAGGCCCAGAACCAACUCUUCUGGGAUUGAACGGCAGUAAGAACAUCUUUUUCCUUCAGAGGAAACUGUCUUUCCAAUACCACCUCAAAGGGUAUGGCCUGGCCCUGUGGUACCUGCAAGGCAAUCAUAGUUUAUAGAACAUUUCCCAAAAUUCCAAGAAAUAUGUGGGAUGUGGACUUUUGUUGGUGUUGGGGUAUAGGGGUCAUGAUUAAAAAAUAUCAUAGAAUUAGGAGUUCCCAUUGUGGCUCAGUAGGUUAAGAACCCUACCUAGUGUCUGGGGGGAUGUGAGUUCAAUCCCUGGCCUCACUCAGUGGGUUAAGGAUCCAGGUUGUUGCAAGCUGCAAUGUAGGUUGCAGAGGCAGCUCAGAUCUUGCAUUGCUGUGGCUGUGGUGUGGCCCGCAGCUCUGAUUUAACCUCUCGUCUGGGAACUUCCAUAUGCCAUAGGUAUGGCC